rnacentral:ncRNA from 1 species
AAAAAGUUUUAUUUUAGCUUAAAAACUUAGUGUAUAUUUUUUUUAUAUGUAAAUUUUAGUAGAAAAGUUAUCUUAGAAAGAUAAAUAUUAUUAUGCAGUAAAUUAUUUUAUAAAUUAAAAAAAUUUAGAAUUAGGAAUAUAUAAAAAUAUUAACAAAAUUUGUGCCAGCAGUUGCGGUUAUUCAUAUAAUAUAAUUAAUUUAAUUUGGUUAAUAAUAAAUUGGUUUAGGAAAAUUUAUAUUUAAUUUUAUUAAGUGAAAUUUUAAAAUUAUUUUAAUUUUUAUUUAAAAUAAUGAAUUUAUAAAAUUUUAAAUUUAAACUAGGAUUAGAUACCCUAUUAUUUUAAAAUAUUAAAUUUUAUACUAACUUAGUAUUUGUUAAGUUCAUGAAAAUUAAAAAAUUUGGCGGUAUUUUAGUCUUUUUAGAGGAACCUGUUCUAUAAUUGAUAAUCCACGAUUUAUUUUACUUAUUUUUAGUUUAUAUAUCAUCGUAGUUUGAAUAUUUUAAAAGAAUAAAAAUAUUCAUAAUUUUUUAUUAAAAAUUAAAUCAGAUCAAGGUGUAACUUAUAAAUAAGGAGAAAUGGGUUACAAUAAAGAUAUUUAAAUAGUUUAUAUAUUUGAAAAAUAUUAAUAAAGUGGAUUUAAAAGUAAUAAAAUUAAAUUUAAUUUUAUGAUUUUAGCUCUAAAAUAUGUACAUAUCGCCCGUCGCUUUCAUUUAAAAUGAAAUAAGUCGUAACAAAGUAGGUGUACUGGAAAGUGUGCCUAGAAAGAC